UCCUGCGUGUCGUCCUGUUUCUGCUGUGGAUCCUGCCGUUUGUCCUUCUGAUGAUUCUUAAAAGAAAAUUAAAGCAAAAAGGUGAAUUUACCCAGAACAGCAACAUACAAUACUAGCAUUCGAGAAAAAACAGAGACAAUGUUUUUAUUGUUCUUGUAGAUAUCCAGAUGAAUGUAUUGAACACUUCUGAUGCUUCUAAGAACCCGAGGAUCAAUGAUAUUUGUGAAAAUCCAGAAGACAGCUCAACCUUUGCAUCAAAGCAUCAGGAGCAACAAUGAAGCUGCAGAAUCUCAACAUAUGAACCAAAGUCUCACCACAAAUGAAGAUAUUUAUUCUGAUUGUCAGAAUGCAAAAUGGUGAAAUGCACUGCAGAGGAAAAUAUUAUAUACAUUUCAAGCUAAUUUAAAGAUGUAGAUGCUAAUUGCUAAAUAUUUUAAUGAUGCAACUUGUUUCAUUAUAUUAACUUUCUCCACACAAUAAUAAAUAAGAGGUUUUUGAUGAACCAGCCUUUGUUUCUUUUUACAUUUAGACUAAAUCAUGAAGGUGAUAAGGCUUUCUGUAGAGGAAAACACUUUUAAAUCAGCAGUAUUUUCAUCCUCUUAAAUUGUUCUAGUAAUCUUUUUUAUGUUUCUAUAUUUGUCAUUUGUCAGUUUGACUGUAAAAUAAUUUUUUAUUUAACCUCAA